UAAUGUUUUGUAUUAUAUAUUGUAUUGUACAUGUCUUAUCGGUAGUUAGGAAGGGAAGGUUUAGAAACGGAAAUUGACUUCACGUUUCAGGCCUCAACCAAUUUUGACUCUCAACAUAACCGUCCGUGCUUUUUAUUGCUCCAUGGUGCAUGUAUCGACCAUUUGCGCGGUCUCACGUACAGGGAUUUGAUCGGGACGAUAUUUUCGACGGGCCCGUGUGUUCAGGACCUCUUGGGACUUCCCGGACCCGAAAUUACACCAAAUGAGUUCUGAAUGGAUUUUGCUUGAUCAGAGGAUUCCAAAGGUGUCCUUUGUACUACUGCUGGAGUGAAAGCUACAGAUAAAUCUGGUCUCCAUGUUAGUUCCAAGCAUUGGAAUUCAACGUAACUAUAGUUACAUGUAGAUGUCAGAGGCACGGAUACCAACAAUAAAGGAAGCUCCUUUAGAACAAAGCAAGGGAAUUAACAGCACAGACAUGAGGCCUGUCUUCACACAUUUUGAUGUCCCCGGUACAAUUGAAGAGCAGUUGAAGCAGGAGUGAUCCUGAGAAGGAUAAGAACAGCUUCGUCAAUCUAUUCGUAGCAAGACUGCAACCUACAGGAAGCACCCCUGAUGCUGCUGCUGAAGUAAAGGCCACAUGUUUGCAAUUCAACGUCACUGCUGUUACAUGUAAAUCAGAUGCACGGCUAUAAACGCUAAAGGAAGCUUCAGUACAACCAAGCAAGGAAAUUGACAGAUGACACCGAAGAAUGUUUACCAGCACAUACACAAAGGAAGUCUUUCAACAUGUAGGUGUUGUCGAUGGAAAUGCAAUUUGUACCAAGACUGUUCUACAUAAGGACUUCAUCAAAAUAACAUGAUCGUCUACAAAAACUGCAACCACUAGGACAUGAGAUAGGUACAUGUGUACAUGUCCCCGGCAUAUUUUGUUCAAGAUUUCUGCAGAAAAUGUGAACACAGGUUUUGGAGUAUUAUGCAAAGUUUCAAUGGUCACAAGUUGCUGAUAUCUUAAAACUGCUCCCAUGUUUCUUAAGUAUAUAGUGCAUAAAAAAGUCUACUGGUAUUUAUAUAAUGUACACUAGUGAAAUGCCCUAAUGCAGUUUUUCUCUUUUCUUUUAUAAAUAUUGAGGACACUUUAACAUUCUUUAACAUAACUUUAACAAGACCGCUUUCAGUGUUCAAUAUUUUGAGUAUGCAUGGUAUUUCUUAACAUACGCUUAAAUUCCACAAUCUGAGUAUGUGCUGCUGUCCACUCGCAAAUACAGUUGUUUAAGUAAUCAUUUGUCCAGUUACUGUCAUUAGGAAAUAAGACGUACUUUUGAAAGAAUUGUGUGAAAUUGCUGUUUGCAUUAUUUUUCUUCCGUCUUUGAAAUCGACGUCUCUUAGUCUGUGUAUACCAAUGGCCCUGAUAGUCCCAUGUCCUGUGGUGUUGAGAUGAUUUUACAGCGUCACGGUUAUAAAGCCGUACACCCUAUUGCAGAGAAUCCUCCCGGCAAUCAAACCCCUUACGAGAAAACUAAAGUGCGCCCUCACUUGAUGCUAUUCCACGUUUUGUAUUACCUGGCUGAUAAUUUUCCUACGUUCGAUCAUAUUUUCGCCAGGGAUGAGGCAAGAAAGUAUGCAGUGAAUUGAAUUUAGCAUUAGCAUUUGAAAUAACUAUUCAUUGUUCGUUGCCCAUUUUUCUUUAAAGCAGGCGAGGGAAAUAUUGUGUUUGUCUGUGAGAUCCCUAACAACGUCAUCUUAUUCUAAACAGAUAUUGAAAGGAUGUUGAUUUUUGGUCUUGCGUACAAAUGAAACAACUGAAAGUACUAGGUUUGUGAAGUCUGUUGUCAUUAGCCCUAUACACGUAUCUCUUGAACAACAAAUGCACAUAUUCCAUCGGAAU
rnacentral:misc_RNA from 1 species